UUAGGGCUGGUUUAGUUGGUGGUUUCCAAUAAGCUCUACAGCCACUUCCUUCACCAAGUACAUGAGUGUUGCUUCAGCAAUCAUUCCUUUAAUUCAUGUCCUUUCUCUCUCUAGAAAAACUCAUAUAUUCAUUAUCCUAGGAGUAUCAGGUUUGCAAAGCUGGACCAAACUAAAGACUCUUCGAGGUGCACUUUGGCUUCUUAAAAGAGCUACCAAGAUUUUGGCUGAGGCAUGUGACUUAAAACUCAGCAGGUGUAAGCACCAGAGACUCAUGCUUCCUUUUCACAUAGCUUGACACUUGGCUGCCCAGGAUCCUUGCAUGCAAGGUGGUAAGGUUACUGUGGGAAAAUUCUGUUGGCUUACUAUCCCAUUUGCUG
rnacentral:lncRNA from 1 species